UGCAGGUGAGGGGAGGUCAUGUGAUUGUGGGUAUAUACAUAAUGGUCAUGAUUACAGUGUAUUUGCACAGAGAAUUGCCAACAGCAAAACCACAAUUAGAUUGUUAACCUGCACUUUAGAAGAGCCAAUAAUGCCACAUCUGAUUCUACAAAAAUAAUUCUAGUGCAGAUCUGAGAAGAGUAAAAUAAAGACAGAACCUAAAAAGGCAAGUUGGGUCGUCAAACGGUACUUAACAGGAGUUAUGAAAUUUAGGGAAAUUAUUUGUAAAGAAAUGAAGAGUCCCCUAAGAGGGAAUCAAAGUGAUCUACUAAGCCACCACCCUAACCACUAAGCCACACCUAUUCUGUCCCAAAGCUAUCACUAUUUAUGCCCUACCCAGAGAUAUCGUGAUUGCAGUGCACUUCCAAAUAGCUACCUCUUGAAAAAUGUUUAGACUAAGAAAUUAUUAUCUACAAUUUAAUGCACAUCAACUAUGUACAUGUAAUAGGAAGUAAGCACAGACACAUGUAUGAUAUGAUUAGCGUCUACAACCAGGUAACCAGUAUUCAUUACUCCUAUCAUUGUGUACUAUACUCCCCUUAGUGAUUCCUGCACACACAAAAGGUUAGGGUCAAACACAGCUGCCAAGCCAAGCUGCCAUAUGCUCAGCUAAAAGUUAAUGUAUAAGUAUUGCAAGUUCUAAUCUAAAGGUGCUGAUUUUAAGACCACUUUGAAAGUAAACAAGUAGAAAGGUUUGGGAAACAGUUUCAGUUCCACCAACACAGCCAGCCACCUAUACACAUCAUCAUUACACUAGUAAUCACAAACACAAACACUUGUUAUCAUAAACAGUUAAAGCCUGAAAUUAUUGCUUCAGUACACACGAACACUCUCCCCCAUACAACGCUAACUGUAAGACCAACAAAAGAAGCACUCCCACAAACAAACAAACAAACUAACCGCUGAGGGCUGUGAUUGCACGACCACCACGUUGUUGCUGGUCUGCUGUUGAGCCUGGGGGGCAUAGCCGGGUCCUGGUUGGUACCCCUGCUGCGGCUGGGGGUAGCCUUGUUGUUGUGGGGGGUAGCCUUGUUGUGGCUGCUGGGCAUACGGGGAAUAGCCAGGGGGCCCAGGCUGUUGUUGGUACGCCAUUGCAA